UACAGAGGUCCCGAGCGUUGUUCGGAUUCAUUGGGCGUAGAGGGUGCGUAGGCGGCGGGGCAAGUCUGAUGUGAAAUCCCGGGGCUCAACCCCGGAACUGCAUUGGAUACUGCCUUGCUAGAGUACUGGAGAGGGAACUGGAAUUUACGGUGUAGCAGUGAAAUGCGUAGAGAUCGUAAGGAAGGCCAGUGGCGAAGGCGAGUUCCUGGACAGUUACUGACGCUGAGGCACGAAGGCCAGGGGAGCAAACGGG
rnacentral:rRNA from 1 species